UCAUAGCUCAGUGGCAGUGCAUCUUCCUAGCAUGCAGAAGGUCCUGGUUUGAUUCCUGGUAUCUCCAA